UUCCCGCUGCUUGGCAGGGCGGGCCUGGCCCUGCGCCAGCUGCAGCACGUGGAGCUGUCGCGCCAAUCCUCUGACAGAGAGCUCAGCCUGUUAUCUAACUUUGGAAAGGGAAGUUCUCCCCCAGGCUGGGAGCCAUAACUGGGGCUGCCAGGUGAGAAUGGUAAGCUCCACGCCCACAGCAAGCAUGCAUCGGCACGGAGGAGCCCUGGAGGCCCAGGCACGCAGUGGAAACCAUCCCGGGCUGGGACCUAAGGCUGCAAGAGAAAAGGAGGAUGACAGGCAAGGACAGCACCUCAGGCAGCCCAGCACAAGAUACCCUGUGUUGGCAGAUGCGGGGACGCGGGUGGGCAUCAUGCCUUCUCCUAUGAGCUCGUGAGCCUCAAGGGCUUGUGGCAUGUUUUGAUGCUGUGUUUAUGCCCUGCACGUUUACCCUACAAGGCACGCCAGUGUAUAUGUGGCAUGCAUAACUGGGGCUUUAUACCCUCUACACAGCCUGAAGCCUGUUCCCCAAAAGGAAGUGACAAAACCUACGGCCUGAGGUUCUUUGGUCUUCAGGGGAGAGGGGAAUAGGGGCAGGUGCCAGGAGACCAGGCACCACUGAAAGGGGGGCAGCUCUGCCAGCCUGCUUCAGGCUUGUCCUGGAUAAGGAAUCCCUGCUUCCCAGUCAUCGUGGGGACUUAAGGUGCCAAUUGGCUGUUUGCUGUGGUCCCCUCUCAUACCUUCCCAGCAGGACGCUGGCCCCUGUGGUCUUCGGGUUACUUGGAUGUGUGGGUGAAGCCAAGGUUCUGGAUGUCACCGUCCACCUCAGACCAGCAUCAGAGCAAAGCCAGACUUGUCGGGAUGCCAGAGUUGUGUGUUUUGACCAGCAGAGAGUUUUGUGACUACAAAGGAGAGACCCCCUUACUGCUCUGUUUCCAGCCAGACCCCUGGCCAGUGCCCCUUGCUCUGCAACCCCGGGUGUGAAGCUAUGUCUCUGCAGGGGAGCUGUAAUGCCAGACAGGAGUCCGGAGUCAGAGUCACAGUGGCCUCAUAAGAACAUCUAAUGCCUUGUGCAGCUGAGAGGCCGGGCUGAGGGAGAACUUUAUCAAGAAUACGUUCUCGGCCGGGUGCGGUGGCUCACGCUUGUAAUCCCAGCACUUUGGGAGGCCGAGACAGGCGGAUCACGAGAAGACCAGACAUAGGCCUGCGUUCAGUAACUGGGAGCUGCUGAAGCCAGCUCUGACUCAUCGAUAGGACGAAUACCAGCUACUGACCAUAAAUAUCCAGGUGACACGGGUGCAUGGAACUGCACAUGUGAAGUAAAAAUUAAGAGAGAAAGAAAGAUGCAGAACAGCCAAGACGAGCCAGAGCUGGCCACAGACUCCAUCUCCUCGGGCCACCCCAUGUCCCACCAGGCCCUGCUCUCCCAGGAGCACCUGUCGCAGAGCCGGAACUCGCCC